UCCUACGGGGGGCAGCAGUGAGGAAUAUUGGUCAAUGGUCGGGAGACUGAACCAGCCAAGCCGCGUGAGGGAUGAAGGUACAGAGUAUCGUAAACCUCUUUUGUCAGGGAACAAAGGCGGGGACGUGUCCCCGGAUGAGUGUACCUGAAGAAAAAGCAUCGGCUAACUCCGUGCCAGCAGCCGCGGUAAUACGGAGGAUGCGAGCGUUAUCCGGAUUUAUUGGGUUUAAAGGGUGCGCAGGCGGUCUGUUAAGUCAGCGGUCAAAGCCCGGGGCUCAACCCCGGCCCGCCAUUGAACCUGGCAGG
rnacentral:rRNA from 1 species